UACGGAGGCAGCAGUGGGGAAUAUUGCACAAUGGGCGAAAGCCUGAUGCAGCGACGCCGCGUGAGGGAUGACGGCCUUCGGGUUGUAAACCUCUUUCAGCAGGGACGAAGCGCAAGUGACGGUACCUGCAGAAGAAGCACCGGCUAACUACGUGCCAGCAGCCGCGGUAAUACGUAGGGUGCGAGCGUUGUCCGGAAUUAUUGGGCGUAAAGAGCUCGUAGGCGGUUUGUCGCGUCGGCCGUGAAAACUUGGGGCUUAACCCCGAGCCUGCGGUCGAUACGGGCAGACUUGAGUUCGGCAGGGGAGACUGGAAUUCCUGGUGUAGCGGUGAAAUGCGCAGAUAUCAGGAGGAACACCGGUGGCGAAGGCGGGUCUCUGGGCCGAUACUGACGCUGAGGAGCGAAAGCGUGGGGAGCGAACAGGAUUAGAUACCCUGGUAGUCCACGCCGUAAACGGUGGGUGCUAGGUGUGGGGGACUUCCACGUCCUCCGUGCCGCAGCUAACGCAUUAAGCACCCCGCCUGGGGAGUACGGCCGCAAGGCUAAAACUCAAAGGAAUUGAC
rnacentral:rRNA from 1 species